AAGUCGUAACAAGGUUUCCGUAGGUGAACCUGCGGAAGGAUCAUUACAAAUCGGUUCCCUCUCUCUUUUGCGAGAGACUCUGUCGACCUGUUCCGCGGGGGGCGCUCUCGUGGCGACCUCCCUUUUACCUGACUCGUGUGAUGCUUGACCCUUUGUAUAUGUAUGUAUGCAUGUGUGUGGUGCAUGCGUCUCUCUCUCUCUUCGAGGGGGGAGACCAGCACCACCGCAGCAACACAGGAACACAGCAACAACUUAUAACAAUGGAUCUCUAGGCUCUU
rnacentral:misc_RNA from 1 species